rnacentral:rRNA from 1 species
GGAAACCUCACCAGGUCCAGACAUGAUCAGGAUUGACAGAUUAAAAGCUCUUUCAUGAUUUCAUGGGUGGUGGUGCAUGGCCGUUCUUAGUUGGUGGAGUGAUCUGUCUGGUUAAUUCCGUUAACGAACGAGACCUUAACCUGCUAAAUAGCUCCGUCGAUCGUGAUCUUCGUGUGCUUCUUAGAGGGACUCUGCGUGUUAACGCAAGGAAGUUUAAGGCAAUAA